UGCGGCCUACGGGGGGCAGCAGUGGGGAAUAUUGCGCAAUGGGCGAAAGCCUGAUGGAGCAACGCCGCGUGGGUGAAGAAGGUCUUCGGAUCGUAAAACCCUGUUGUUAGAGAAGAAAGUGCGUGAGAGUAACUGUUCACGUUUCGACGGUAUCUAACCAGAAAGCCACGGCUAACUACGUGCCAGCAGCCGCGGUAAUACGUAGGUGGCAAGCGUUAUCCGGAUUUAUUGGGCGUAAAGGGAACGCAGGCGGUCUUUUAAGUCUGAUGUGAAAGCCUUCGGCUUAACCGGAGUAGUGCAUUGGG
rnacentral:rRNA from 1 species